UGCGGACGCUUCCAGUCAUUUAUGAGGUAAUAUGUGUGAGUCAUUGAUAUGACCAGCGGGUCCUGGUAAUACAUACCUCCAUGGACCCGGACGUUAGUAAGCAGACAACAGUCAAUACAGACAUUAGAUAGAGACAGUGGAUACGGACAGUGGACGAGAACACUAGACAAAGACAGUGGUAGUCGACAACGACAGAAGACAGUCGUCAGGCCAGUGGGCAGUAGGGAAGGACAGUGGAAAGUGGACAAGGACAGGACAGGACAGUGGCUAAUACACUUGUCCCGACAUCAAUUUUGUUCGACGGCUACGAUGUAUAGGAGAUGGGAUACACGCCCUCUGGUCCACCAUAGUGACGAUACUGGUGAUACUCGGCACCUUGCUGCAGGAUGUGUUUACGAUACUGAACCACUAGCCAUCCACCACAGUAUCGCGGGUUCGAGGCCUACAUGGGGAAGUCGCCAGAUUUAUGGAACCAACGCAAUAUCAAAGAAUGAAGAAAAUGUUAAUUCGAACUCAAUUUAAGCAUAUGAUACUUAUCGGAUCCGUUAAGAUUUCUUCAAACACCCGUGCCGGUCAGCUUGCUUUAAAUAUAAGCAUGUUUAGAUUAUCCUCAACAUCCAACAGUCUGUCUGCUCGCCUCUUUCGAGGAAGGGAAUGAUCAAAUUCUUGUGGUCAAUGCAGAUAAUACGCGCUCUUCUUCUCUUCGUAUUGAAAAUAGUCAAUUAAUGCUUCGUUUAUCAUGAGUUUUAACAUUCAUGUAUACACAAUUAUUUAAUUAAUAAAAUAUUA